rnacentral:rRNA from 1 species
CACGGGGGGAGCAAGCGUUGUCCGGAAUCAUUGGGCGUAAAGGGCGCGUAGGUGGCCCGGUCAGUCUUUGGUGAAAGCGCGGGGCUCAACCCUGCGUCGGCCAGGGAUACUGCCGCGGCUCGAGCACUGUAGAGGCAGGCGGAAUUCCGGGUGUAGCGGUGGAAUGCGUAGAGAUCCGGAAGAACACCGGUGGCGAAGGCGGCCUGCUGGGCAGUUUUGCUGACACUGAGGCGCGACAGCGUGGGGAGCAAACAGG